rnacentral:rRNA from 1 species
CACGUAGGGGACGAGCGUUGUCCGGAUUUAUUGGGCGUAAAGAGCGUGUAGGCGGCCAGGUAGGUCCGUUGUGAAAACUCGAGGCUCAACCUCGAGACGCCGAUGGAAACCAUCUGGCUAGAGUCCGGAAGAGGAGAGUGGAAUUCCUGGUGUAGCGGUGAAAUGCGCAGAUAUCAGGAAGAACACCCGUGGCUAAGGCGGCUCUCUAGUACGGUACUGACGCUGAGACGCGAAAGCGUGGGGAGCGAACAGG